rnacentral:rRNA from 1 species
GGGAGUUAGGGCGGGUUGAUGCGGGCUAUCAUGCAGUCGAGCGAACAGAUAAGGAGCUUGCUCCUUUGAAGUUAGCGGCGGACGGGUGAGUAACACGUGGGUAACCUACCUAUAAGACUGGGAUAACUUCGGGAAACCGGAGCUAAUACCGGAUAACAUUUAGAACCGCAUGGUUCUAAAGUGAAAGAUGGUUUUGCUAUCACUUAUAGAUGGACCCGCGCCGUAUUAGCUAGUUGGUAAGGUAACGGCUUACCAAGGCGACGAUACGUAGCCGACCUGAGAGGGUGAUCGGCCACACUGGAACUGAGACACGGUCCAGACUCCUACGGGAGGCAGCAGUAGGGAAUCUUCCGCAAUGGGCGAAAGCCUGACGGAGCAACGCCGCGUGAGUGAUGAAGGGUUUCGGCUCGUAAAACUCUGUUAUUAGGGAAGAACAAAUGUGUAAGUAACUGUGCACAUCUUGACGGUACCUAAUCAGAAAGCCACGGCUAACUACGUGCCAGCAGCCGCGGUAAUACGUAGGUGGCAAGCGUUAUCCGGAAUUAUUGGGCGUAAAGCGCGCGUAGGCGGUUUCUUAAGUCUGAUGUGAAAGCCCACGGCUCAACCGUGGAGGGUCAUUGGAAACUGGGAAACUUGAGUGCAGAAGAGGAAAGUGGAAUUCCAUGUGUAGCGGUGAAAUGCGCAGAGAUAUGGAGGAACACCAGUGGCGAAGGCGACUUUCUGGUCUGUAACUGACGCUGAUGUGCGAAAGCGUGGGGAUCAAACAGGAUUAGAUACCCUGGUAGUCCACGCCGUAAACG